rnacentral:rRNA from 1 species
UACAGAGGGGGCAAGCGUUGUUCGGAAUUACUGGGCGUAAAGGGCGCGUAGGCGGCCGCCUAAGUCAGACGUGAAAUCCCUCGGCUCAACCGGGGAACUGCGUCUGAUACUGGGUGGCUUGAUUUCGGGAGAGGGAUGCGGAAUUCCAGGUGUAGCGGUGAAAUGCGUAGAUAUCUGGAGGAACACCGGUGGCGAAGGCGGCAUCCUGGACCGAGAUUGACGCUGAGGCGCGAAAGCCAGGGGAGCAAACAGG